rnacentral:rRNA from 1 species
UUGGAUACUGGAAUAAAUGAUUUUACAAUUAAAUUUUUUCUUUUUUGAGUUUAAUAAUUUAGAGUUUAAGUUAAAAUUCUUAAAUUUAUAAAAAAGACGAUAAGACCCUAAAAGCUUUAUUUUAUUUUCUUUUUAAUARAGAMAAAAAUUUUUUACUGGGGUAGUAUUUAUUUAAGGGURAUAAAAUAAAAAACUUUUGGUUUUAUUUCUCUUUAUUAGAAAUUAAAUUAGUUACUUUAGGGAUAACAGCGUAAUAUUGUUGGAGAGAACRUAUCUAUAACAAUGUUUACGACCUCGAUGUUGAAUUAAUARACCUUUUUAAAGCAGAUUUUAAAUAAGGGGGUUUGUUCAACCUUUAAU